rnacentral:tRNA from 1 species
GUAAAGAUGGCUGAGUUUUAGGCGGUGGGUUGUAAUUCCAUUUAUGGGGUAGAUCCCCCUCUUUGC